UACGUAGGGGGCGAGCGUUGUCCGGAAUCAUUGGGCGUAAAGCGCGUGUAGGCGGCUCGGUAAGUCUGCUGUGAAAGUCCAGGGCUCAACCCUGGGAUGCCGGUGGAUACUGUCGAGCUCGAGUCCGGAAGAGGCGAGUGGAAUUCCUGGUGUAGCGGUGAAAUGCGCAGAUAUCAGGAGGAACACCAAUGGCGAAGGCAGCACUCUGGGACGUGACUGACGCUGAGACGCGAAAGCGUGGGGAGCAAACAGG
rnacentral:rRNA from 1 species